rnacentral:piRNA from 1 species
UCUUUAAACUUUAAUUUUCAA